rnacentral:rRNA from 1 species
CCUACGGGGGGCAGCAGUAGGGAAUAUUGCUCAAUGGGGGAAACCCUGAAGCAGCAACGCCGCGUGGAGGAUGAAGGUUUUCGGAUUGUAAACUCCUUUUGUUAGAGAAGAUAAUGACGGUAUCUAACGAAUAAGCACCGGCUAACUACGUGCCAGCAGCCGCGGUAAUACGGAGGGUGCAAGCGUUACUCGGAAUCACUGGGCGUAAAGAGCGCGUAGGCGGGAUAGCAAGUCAGAUGUGAAAUCCUAUGGCUUAACCAUAGAACUGCAUUUGAAACUGUUAUUCUAGAGUAUGGGAGAGGUAGGUGGAAUUCUUGGUGUAGGGGUAAAAUGCGUAGAGAUAAAGAGGAAUACUCAUUGCGAAGGCGACCUGCUAGAACAUAACUGACGCUGAUGCGCGAAAGCGUGGGGAGCAAACAGGAUUAGAUACCCUUGUAGUC